rnacentral:misc_RNA from 1 species
AAUAACCACUAGCAGAUGGAAUGGUGUCCUUCUAGCUUCUUUUGUUGUCAUGGCUUCUCCUUGUAAGGCCAAAAUGUUACCUUCAUGAACAUGCACAUUUAUAUGAUCUGCUGGAGCAUCAAGUUUCAUGUACUUUCCUGUAUCUGCACUAAGUGAAUGUGAGUAGUUAAAAAGGUCGAACCAAUUUCCAGCCGGGAUGUAUGCAUCAACUGAUACUGCUCCUGGCUUUAGCACAGGUGACACCAUCACACCUUUGCCAAUUAGAAACUGUGAGCUGAUUUCGUAAGUCC